UGCCAGCCGCCGCGGUAAGACGGAGGGCGCAAGCGUUGUUCGGAAUUACUGGGCGUAAAGGGCGGGCAGGCGGUCUGUUAAGUCUUUUGUGAAAAUCCGGGGCUCAACCCCGUGAAACGCAGAAGAUACUGGCAGACUUGAGACCAGUAGAGGCUAGCGGAAUUCCUGGUGUAGCGGUGGAAUGCGUAGAUAUCAGGAAGAACACCUGUGGCGAAGGCGGCUAGCUGGGCCGAUAUUGACGCUGAGGCGCGAAGGCGUGGGUAGCGAACGGGAUUAGAUA
rnacentral:rRNA from 1 species